GAUGUUGGGUUAAGUCCCGCAACGAGCGCAACCCUUGUCAUUAGUUGCUACAUUUAGUUGGGCACUCUAGUGAGACUGCCGGUGACAAACCGGAGGAAGGUGGGGAUGACGUCAAGUCCUCAUGGCCCUUACGGGCUGGGCUACACACGUGCUACAAUGGUGGUGACAGUGGGCAGCGAGACCGCGAGGUCGAGCUAAUCUCCAAAAGCCAUCUCAGUUCGGAUUGCACUCUGCAACUCGAGUGCAUGAAGGCGGAAUCGCUAGUAAUCGUGGAUCAGCAUGCCACGGUGAAUACGUUCCCGGGCCUUGUACACACCGCCCGUCACGUCACGAAAGUCGGUAACACCCGAAGCCAGUGGCCCAACCCCUUGUGGGGGGGAGCUGUCGAAGGUGGGAUCGGCGAUUGGGACGAAGUCGUAACAAGGUAGCCGUACCGGAAGGUGCGGCUGGAUCACCUCCUU
rnacentral:rRNA from 1 species